GGCUGAGGCAAGAAGAAAGUGUGUGAGAAGAAAAGGGAGGAGAGGGCGCAUUGCUCAGUCACGUCUGACAGAGGACUGCUCUUCCUGCUCCCUCCACCCCUGUUCUCUGCCUCUUCCAAUCUGGAGCUAUAGGUCAAGAAGGAAAAACAGAAGGUGUCUGGGCGAGAAAAGAAGACUUGCUGGGACAUCUCCGAGUCUUUGAACAGCCCAACGGUGGUGACUCUCAGCUGGGUGCAGUGGCUCACUGAGCCGCCAGGGUGGAAUACAGGGCGAGGAAGAGCCCAGAGGGGAUCCUUGAGGACACUGGGCUGGAAGGUGGAGAAAAGAAAGAACACUGGCCACUUUCUUAAACGGCACCAUUUCAAACAAAUGUGCAAGAUGUGGAUGUGGUGAGGACAGCUGAGAAAAGAGCACAGAGAUGAAAUCAGAAGCUUCUUGAACUUCCUUCUCCCUCUCCUGCCAACAUAGUAGAGAGCUUUUAUAUAGAAUUUCAAGUGCUGUCCUUUAGCCCUUUGUUAACUCGUUCUGAACAUGAAGGCAAGCACUCCUGGAAAGGUCAUUUAAAACACGGACGACCUCCUUCACUCUAGCCUCCUCACACCUUGCCAGCCUGAACAGCAAAUCACAAAUUAUUUCUUGUUGUUAUUGUUGGAGCGCAUCUCUCAAUGGUAUCGCCGAUGUGAGAGUCGAUGUCUUUUUUAAAAGUCAGACUGGCACGGGAGCAUUUGGGAUGAGCCCUCUUUUGUGUGUCUGCUUCAUUCCUUUGUUGGAGUUCUACAUUUUCUGUGUAUGGGAUUGAGGAAUCAUGGAAAAUUGCCACUUGUGUGAUAAAUUACUGUUUUCACCCAUCAAACUUCGAAAAUGCUCCAUAUGAGCCUUGCACACCAUUAUGUUGUCCCAUCUAGGACCCUUUGAAAACAGCAGGGUGCAUCUGGCUGAAAUUCAGUCAGGCGAUUAAAUUUAUUCAAGCUUGGUGAACUUGAGAGCUUUCAAAAGGAGAGGAGCUGAAGGGAUGAGAUUAUAGUCCUGACAGGGCUCUGGAAAGGUGUCUGACAUCUGACUGCUCCUAGUGAGGCAUGAUACCUAUUCCCAUUGAUUUGCAACAAAGUAUUCCUCAAUAAGUAUUUCCACUUAACAUUUCCUCUCAGGGAACCUGUGCAGUUGAAGAUAUUUACGAGUUGCUUUCAGCUUAAAAAUAAAUCACCUCUAAUUCCUCUAAGCGAAAUCAAUCAAAAACCUGUAAAAAAUGGACUGGUUGUUUGGUCGAUUCUGGCAGAAAAGUAAACAGCACUUCAGCUUUUCUCUGCCAUUAAGGCCUAAAUGGCCUAGAAAGUAAAUCAAUAUUUCUAGUCAGCCUUCUGGCUAUUGUUUAGCCAGUAGAUAUGGAUUUGCUCUGGUUUACUGCACUCCUUCGGGACUAACCUAUAAUCCUCCGAGAGGAAUAAUAAGUUCGUUAUCUAGUCCAGCUCUCUGUUGGACAUUUAAAUGGACCACAUCCAUCAGCAGCCCUUGUUAAAGUUAAAGGAUGAGGCCAUCCCAUUCUACCCCGUUUACGGUGAAACACUUCCAACACAGCGAGGGGGACGUUACAACUCACAGUUGUACUGGUUGGCAAAUGACCUAAAAACCCUGACUGGGGGUACAGGCAGUCAUUUAAGUGUGAGGAGGCAUUUAUCACUGCUGUUUCGAGAUAGGAAAUACUACUUACUCAUUUCUAAGUAAACUAGGAUAUUCCUAAAGCUACGUGCUGCAGGAUCGUUCUUUAGACCUCCUAAUCCUUGUCUAAUAUUUCUGUUUAAGUAUCGGUGUGAUUCAAAGCAGGAAAAGCUAGUCUCUGCUGCUAUAAACCAAAAUGCUUCCCUUUCUCCUUGUCGGCAAAUGGAAAUCUCUCACACUCUUACUCAUUUCACUUUAAUAAGUUGCUAUAAUAAUUUGAUAAUGACAUUCUUGAGGAUCUUGGAAGAAGAGAAUGUUGGGGAAAAGAUAAUUCCUUGAAGGAAUUAAUUUUCACUUGCCUUUUUCAACUUGAUGAACUGAUACUCUCUUUUAAGUUCCAUCCAUAUUUCCCAGAUUAAUAUGAGGAAGUUAUAAUGAAAUAAUAAUUUAUCUUUGAACUAUUUUAUACGCUUAAUUCUUAUGACAUUUUAUUGAUUUCUUGGUAAGAAACACAAAAAAAUGGAUGAAUUAUGAUUAUUUGGAACUUUCAAAUGUAGGUAUUUAUAGCUCACCAGACAUUUCUUCAACAAAAUGACAAUUAUGAUAAAACAAAUGAAAAAAAUUUUCGGUUAUUUCAUUGAGAUCUUUCUCAUAAUUUUACUUAAGUAAAAUUAUCACAAAAUUAUUGAAAAGGAGAGAUAUAAUUAAGUAAAAUAGCACAACAGAAUUUAGAUGGACUGUGUUUGCAAAAUAUAGUAAUUUAAGAAAAAAGGUGAUUUAAUUAAGCGAUAUUAACUUAGAGUAGUAAAAUGACUUGUUCUGUGGAGAGAAUUUUUGCUGUUUCCUUCUUUAAUCACUCAACUCUUCAAUUUCUGGGAAGUUUGUUUCAGCUUUAAACAGAUUAGAUCUUAAAUUAGAGAGAAAUUAAAUUUUUUGUAAUCUGUCACUGGGAAAAAUUAAAAGUUUUAAUUUAAUUUUAAUUAAAAUUAAAAAUCAAAAUUAAACUUAGUAUACACUAAUUUUAACAAUUUAUUAUCUCCACUGGCUCAUUAAAGGCAUUCUUAUGAUUAAAAUAAUAAAUUUAGUAAAAAUAUCACAUUAAUUUAUUUUAAGACUUCAAUUAAAUAUCAAUAUGUGGAGAUGUAUAGUUUUAUCUCUUUUGGUUUUUGCUGCAGUUUGAGUAAGUCUGUGGUCACAGCCUGACUCAGAGCUUGGUGCUGGCAAGCCAAGCCAACUAUCUCUACAGAGCUCAGAUCCUUCGUACUCUCCAUCCUUCCUGAGCGGUGAGGUUCCAGGGAAGAUAGAAGAUGUAACUUAAACUACCAUGCAACGAGGCUAUUUUUGUUUUUCAAAUAUGAUAUAUGAACACUUGGAAUUCAUACUUCUAAUUCUUUAGCAGUGAUUGCAAAAUGCUAACUGUAUUCUCAAGGUAACUUAAGAAACAUAUAUUGUUAGACUCUGCUAAUUGUACAAAUGAGAAUCACACAGAAAUAACUGAGCUUUUUUACAAAAUUGAGUUUUCAUGUAGGAUUACACUCUAAUAUCCUUGUUAAAAUAUUGUUUUAGUUAAUUUGUUUGAAAAUUUAAAUAAGAGCAAUAACUCAAAAAAUUCAUGUAUUUCCCAGAAGAACGCUUUAUAGGUAGCGUGAGGGAAAAAAAAAUACCUGGCCAUUUCUUGUUUGAUAAAAAACUUUUAGCAUAUGCUUUUGAUAUUGUCUGAUUUGAAAAUUUUUAAUGCAUAUAAAAUUUCUAACUUUUUAUUUGCUGCAUUUGUAUGCUGAUAUAUUUGAAAAACACCAAUUUAUAUAGAGAAUAAUGUUAUAUUGAUAGAGUUGAAUUUGCCUCUUGAAACCAUUUUAAGUUAUAAGAGUAUAGCCUUUGCCUGGAAAGUGUCACUAUUAGGCAACACUGCCCGUCAGCAAGAGGCUAGUUUACACCAUGAUGCCAUCAUCUGCCGAAGAAAAGCACUCAUCCCAUAUUUCUGCAUCAUAAUAAUUACCAGUGAAAUGGAACGGAGCAUGUAUUUAAAAUAUGAUUAUUGGGAAAAAUGUAUAAAUAAAUCAGUACGAAAAUGAAUGUAUAGGAAUAUAAAUUAACACUAUUACUUUGUCUCUGCAGCAAAAGAUCAGGCCAUUUUCAGUAGAUCACUACUCAGGUCUCACCAGGGCUGUGAGGAGCACUGUUAAAGUGAAAUCCCUGUGUGAGGCCGAUCUGGUGCCGCUGCCUGCCCUUAGGGAGUGGAGACUGGUCACAAAUAAAUAAUUUUGGUCAAAUCUUAUUGGAAGUUCGUAAUCCCCCUGGCAAAAAAGUGGUUCCGACUGAUACACAAUCACAAUGAAUAGAAUAAUAAUUCAAGGGUAUUUGAUCACAUUUAAGAGAUUAGAGAACCUUUAUUCUAUACAACACAGGAGACAACACUUCUGCAAAAGUAGCUAUACCCUACGUCAAGGCAUGUUAGGAAAAGAUUAGGCAAACAAUGGCUUACGGAGCCAAACAGGCCUCUUUUCAUGACAAGGAACUCCAACUUUGAACCAGAGAUAAGCAAAAUGGUCCUCUUUCAAAUCAGAAAUCCAUUCUUAUUAGUAAACAAGUAUUACAAAAAUAAGCACUCAGUAUUACAUAUUUAAUGUUACCAGUAAAAAGUAUGGAAAUUUGUUUUCUUGUUAUAUAAUAAUGUAUAAAACAUCCUUAAUUUUGCAUACUAGCCUGCAAAUUUACAUAUUUACUAAUUGGACCUUCCAGAAAAAGUUUGCUCCCCCUCCGUUGCCCUAUUCCAUGGUAUCAAAUUAAUUUCUAAAGAUCAUACAAGAUCUAUAUUGCCAAUUUAGCUGAUACAACAUCUCUGGGCCUUUAUCUUUUCUUCCUUCCCCUCACCAUUUAUUUCACUAUCUUAUUGGUCCACCAGUUGCUUAUGAAGCAGCCAAGGAUAAUUAAUGUUUUUAUAGCUCCCAAUGACACACUUGUUUCUAGGUUAGGACAAGAAACUCUGUGUCUACUAUUUAGGUUUAGAAACACUGCACUCAAACUCUCUGAAGGGAUUUUUAAUAUGAAGGUUGUGAACACCACUUUAAAGCACAUGACUGAGAACAACGUAAGUCAGACGAGACAGGCAAAAAGAGAGGAGACGGUAGACACAGCUGCAUACUGAAUGAAAAAAAAGUAAGAACUUGUAGGUUCAGUUCAUUUCUUUUAUCUUAAAUAGCAAAAAAUUGACCUUUAUUUUUCAUUUAAUUCAUAGUAGUAUCUAGAAAUCAGUAAUGGCAAAGAAGAUCAAUUAGGUCAUUUAGUCCCUCUCCGAGGUUCCAAUUUUCUCAUUCAGCAUAAUAACUUUGGCCUGUCCAAACUUAAGUGACGGAAGAGAUGGGUUUCCACAACUUAACUUGGGAGAUAUCUCUAAAUCAAAUUCAUCUGUACCAAAGCAUCAUUAAAGACUUGGCUAUUAGAAUUAUACUAAAUUGUUCUCUGCUUAAUUGCACCUCAUUUGUCCUUUAUUCCCCUUGGCUAGCCAAGCAAACUUUUUUUUUCUUUGACUAGAUUUAUCUUAGACCAGCUAGUCCACAUAUAUUAUUGAUAAAGACAAUGUCAUUAAUGGUUUCUGUUUGUUGGUUGUACUGCCACUUAAACAUUUGUUUUCCUUUGUUCAAGUUACUCUCAAAGGAAGACUACUCUGUAAUAAGUAGUACCACAUUUUAUAGAAAAUUUCUUACGUUCUCCAAAAACUCCAGUGGCUUAUGUGCAACCCUCUCUAACUUCAUUUAUCAACAUGCAGAAUGAUCAGCACCCAAUAGCUUGCUAUAAUAUGUACACUUUCUCACUGCUAUCCAUUUCCCCAUUAAUGCUCAUAUUUUGAUUUUCUGAAACCUCAGUCACAUUAAGCCUUUCUUUUUCUGCAAUAAAACAUGGCUCCCAUACCCCUCAUUGAUUAAGUCUAACUCCAGAACUUCUGAGGAUGCUAGUUUCAACAGCAUACUGUUCUCCUCUUCCUGACCAAUUGAUGGAUAUCCUGUAACACAAUCUUGAAUUAAAAAAAUGAGCUGAUUAAAGAAGUAUUAAGAAAAAUCCAUAUAUAUGACUAAGUCAAUCCAUCAGUGUUUUGUUCAGUAGGGUCAACUUUUUCUCCAUGUAGAAAAUACCACUGCCAGGAGAUAGUAAUGAACUACGACCUUGGAGAGUUUUGCAACAGGAACUAACGAGAAGGAAACACUCGCUAUUAGAGCAAAUAGACUCCUAAUCAACAUAUUAUCGAUCGUUCAUUUUUGUCAAGGUCAUUUUGUGCUUUAAAAAAUGAUCCCACAGUAAGGCUUUAAUAGGAAAAGUGGACUAAUUUGAUUUAAAGAGUAAAUGCUAUUAAUUAUGAAAGGCAGUCAAUAAAAAGCUUGUUCUUCCAAACAUAAA